GCCUAUAAACGUUUAUAAUGCUUUAGUAGGUCCCUCGCUUGAGUAUUUCAAUGACAAUGGUGAUACUAGACCGCUAAUUCGUCCUUUUAAGGGAUAAAAAGGUCCAUUUAGCUCUUCCGUCAAUAAAGGAAAAAGGCAUACAUGUACGGUUUUUAUGUAUUUCCUUUAGUGUUAAUAUCUGUCAGGUGCAGUUCCCUGAGAUUAAACUAUAGCGCUCGCAAGCGAAAUAAAAGUUGAAGUUUGCUCUUUUCGUUUAAACUCCUAAACCAAGGGGAACUACAAAUGUAUGUAUGCCUUCUACCAUCCUUAAAGUUUAUAAAGCGCCCCGAACAUUCUAAACCCUAGUACAUCAAG